rnacentral:rRNA from 1 species
GACGAACGCUGGCGGCGUGCCUAAUACAUGCAAGUAGGACGCAGUUGCGAACGGGUGAGUAACGCGUAGGUAACUGACUAUUAGAGGGGGAUAACUAUUGGAAACGAUAGCUAAUACCGCAUACUAGUAGAUGGACCUGCGUUGUAUUAGCUAGUAGGUAGGGUAAUGGCCUACCUAGGCAACGAUACAUAGCCGACCCGAGAGGGUGAGCGGCCACAACGGGACUGUAGCACGGCCCAGACUCCUACGGGAGGCAUCCGUAGGGAAUUUUCGGCAAAGGGGGGAACCCUGACCGAGCAACGCCGCGUGAGUGAAGAAGGUUUUCGGGUCGUAAAGCUCUGUUGUUAAGGAAGCGGUACUUAACCAGAAAGGGACGGCUAACUACGUGCCAGCAGCCGCGGUAAUUC